UGCCUUGAGGCGUGGCUUCCGGAGCUAACGCGUUAAGUCGACCGCCUGGGGAGUACGGCCGCAAGGUUAAAACUCAAAUGAAUUGACGGGGGCCCGCACAAGCGGUGGAGCAUGUGGUUUAAUUCGAUGCAACGCGAAGAACCUUACCUACUCUUGACAUCCAGAGAACUUUCCAGAGAUGGAUUGGUGCCUUCGGGAACUCUGAGACAGGUGCUGCAUGGCUGUCGUCAGCUCGUGUUGUGAAAUGUUGGGUUAAGUCCCGCAACGAGCGCAACCCUUAUCCUUUGUUGCCAGCGGUCCGGCCGGGAACUCAAAGGAGACUGCCAGUGAUAAACUGGAGGAAGGUGGGGAUGACGUCAAGUCAUCAUGGCCCUUACGAGUAGGGCUACACACGUGCUACAAUGGCGCAUACAAAGAGAAGCGAACUCGCGAGAGCAAGCGGACCUCAUAAAGUGCGUCGUAGUCCGGAUUGGAGUCUGCAACUCGACUCCAUGAAGUCGGAAUCGCUAGUAAUCGUAGAUCAGAAUGCUACGGUGAAUACGUUCCCGGGCCUUGCACUCCCCGCCCGUCAAAA
rnacentral:rRNA from 1 species